AUGCAAGUCGAGGGGUAACGGAAGUAGCUUGCUACUAGACGACGACCGGCGCACGGGUGAGUAACGCGUAUGUAAUCUGCCUUGUACAGAGGGAUAGCCCAGAGAAAUUUGGAUUAAUACCUCAUAGUAUUACCGAAUCGCAUGAUUUGGUAAUUAAAGCUCCGGCGGUACAAGAUGAACAUGCGUGACAUUAGCUAGUUGGUAAGGUAACGGCUUACCAAGGCCACGAUGUCUAGGGGUUCUGAGAGGAUGAUCCCCCACACUGGUACUGAGACACGGACCAGACUCCUACGGGAGGCAGCAGUGAGGAAUAUUGGUCAAUGGACGCAAGUCUGAACCAGCCAUCCCGCGUGAAGGAUGACUGCCCUAUGGGUUGUAAACUUCUUUUAUAUGCAAAUAAACCUACUUUCGUGAAAGUAGCUGAAGGUAGCAUAUGAAUAAACACCGGCUAACUCCGUGCCAGCAGCCGCGGUAAUACGGAGGGUGUAAGCGUUAUCCGGAUUUAUUGGGUUUAAAGGGUACGUAGGCGGUAAUAUAAGUCAGUGGUGAAAUCCUGCAGCUCAACUGUAGAACUGCCAUUGAAACUGU
rnacentral:rRNA from 1 species